rnacentral:rRNA from 1 species
AACGAACGCUGGCGGCAGGCCUAACACAUGCAAGUCGAACGCGCGUAGCAAUACGCGAGUGGCGCACGGGUGAGUAAUACGUGGGAACCAACCCAGAGGUUCGGAAUAACAUCGGGAAACUGGUGCUAAUACCGGAUAAGCCCUCCGGGGGAAAGAUUUAUUGCCGAAAGAUGGGCCCGCGUUGGAUUAGCUAGUUGGGGAGGUAAUGGCUCACCAAGGCAACGAUCCAUAGCUGGUCUGAGAGGAUGAUCAGCCUCACUGGGACUGAGACACGGCCCAGACUCCUACGGGAGGCAGCAGUGGGGAAUAUUGGACAAUGGGGGAAACCCUGAUCCAGCCAUGCCGCGUGAAUGAUGAAGGCCUUCGGGUUGUAAAGUUCUUUUGGUGGGGACGAUGAUGACGGUACCCACAGAAUAAGCUCCGGCUAACUUCGUGCCAGCCGCCGCCGUAAUAC